UUUGCGAAAAGGAUAUAUCUUCACUAAAACCCUUGUUUCAAUUACAACGAGAAUACUUUGCCCAAAUUAUGUCUCAGUUUCACUAUCCUCUUCUUCUAAAGUUGUUCUGCUGGCGACUACUUCGGCUUCAAAACAGUUCUUCAAAGCCCUAGGGCUCUCUCUCACUCCCUAUCUUCUAGCUUCAAAAACAUGUGGUAAGAUUGUAGAGGCAUUAGACAUGUUGGCUAUAAUGGAAAGAAAAAGGCGUAAAGGAGACUGAUCACAUAAAAUGUUAUUCUUCGUGAACUUUGUCUUCAAGAUAGAGUGUAAGAUAUUGCUUGACUCCUUUUGUUGAUCGAUCAGAAAGGGUUUUCCUACGAUUCAUAUACGUAUGCCUCUUUGGGUGAAAGUCUACUAAAAAGGGGUAAGAUUGGCAUUGCUUUUAAACUAUUGUUAGAUUUUAUUUCAAUGUGCUUUCCUUUGGAUGUGGUUGUAUAUAAUAUUUUCUUCCAUAGUCUAUGUUGUAAGAAUAAGUAAAAAAAUAGCAUUGUCUUUAUUGAAGAAUAUGAUAGAAAGAGGCUUUGUGCCAAACAAUGUUUCAUAUAACACAAUUUUAAAGAAUUUUUGUGUGGAGAACAAGGUCCAUGAAGCUUUGGAUCUCUUAGAUUGUUUUGAGUGGGGUGCAAAUGGUCCUGAUCUGGUUUCUCCAAAUACGAUUUUGUUUGUUGCAUGUGAAGAGGGGAACUCUCCCAUGAUUCAAAGGGUUUUAUGCCGCAUGAGAAACGGGCAUCUACAACUUAAUGAUGUGAGUUAUGUUGGUUUGAUUCAGUACUUUGCUAGGUUAGGAAAAUCUUCUAAAUGUUUGGAGUUAAUAGAUGACAUGAUGUGUUAGGGAUUAAAGUUCUAUCAUGUAACUUUUAACUUGCUUCUUCACAAAUUGUGCCAUAAUGGGUUACUCUGAAUGGCACGAAGGCUUUUUGAACAUCUUAGAAAUAAAGGACUUCUACUUGAUAUGGUCUCGUACAAUGUUCUCAUAGAUGCAUACAAUGUUCUCAUAGAUGCUUUUGUAAGAGAGGGUAAUAGUGUGUAGGUGGAGCAACUGCUAAAGGACAUGUAUUUUCAGAGACUAAACCCAUAUCAUUUUACCUACAAAGCUUUGGCUAGUGGUGUUAUCAAGCAAGGAAAGAUAUCUGUUGCCCUCCAGCUGAGAGAUCAAAUGUUAGAAGAUGAGAUUACACCCAGUGUAGAAAUUUACAUCACCAUAAUGGGUGCAAUGUUCUUGAGAGGCCAUUUUUGUGAAAUUCUCUAUUUGUUUAAAGCUAUGGUAAUGGAAGGUUGUGAACCUAAUGAGAAAACUUGUAAGAUUCUUCAUAGAACAAUUUCUAAAUGCAAGGUGAAAUGAGAUUUUGGGGUCUUACAAUGUAACGCCCCAAUUUCCUUAAUAUGGCUUAGUGCCUAGAUUAGGGGUUAGGAGGCAAUAAUUGUUUUAAUUAUGUGUUAAUAUAGUAUGAGCAUGUUAUUAUGUGAAUUAUAUUAUAAUAUAAAUUAUGUUUGCCUGUUUAGAAAUACUAAAUGUGUAUGUGGGUCCGUUUCUUAUAAGAUGACAUUUUAGUAAUUUGACCCACUGAGGGUAUAAUUGUAAAUUUGUCUCUGUAGGAUUGAGACUACAUUAUUAUAUGGAUAUAUUUGGGCUAUUCGACAUGAUCGCUAUCCUAGUGAGCAAGUUAGCGAAAAAGUCACAACGGGUAAAAUGUUUGGCUUGGGGUGAGCUUAGGGGUAUUUUGGUAAUUAAUACAUUACCGGGAUUUAUCGGGUAAUGGGAGACUUAAUGGUUAUUACUUUGAGGUAGUUGGGGAUUUAGAGGAACACUCGAGGAUUCACGGGAAGUGGCAAUUGACGGAAUUGCCCUUGAGAUCACCAGAGAACUUAAGUUAGUGGUAAGGGCAUUUUAGACUUUUCGGCGAAAAGGGAUAUGUUGGUUUAGGCAUUUGGAACCUAAGAACUAUUCAGAAAGAAAGAAGGAAAAAGUUCUCUCUCUCUCUCUCUCUCUCCCGUAGCGCUCUCUCUCUUUGGUGAAUUGGGAACUUUGAGUAAUUGAAGGAGCAAAGCAUAGGAAGCUGAGGAUUUGGUGUUUAAGAUUAAGCUAGGAGCAACUUGGGAUCAUAAGACAACCAUUGGAGGUAAGGAGUUUAUCUGAAUUUUAAGUUUAAAUUCAGUUGGUUGAAGCUUUUCUAGAACCUUAGGUUUGAGUUUGAAUUUUGGAAUUUUGAUGAGUUUUAAUCUGGUUUUGAGUUUGAUUUUGUUGUUGGUGAGUUGUUGAAUUAGUCAUAGGGGUUGAAUUGAGGUUUUAAGCUUUAUUUGGGGUUGAUGUUAUCUAGGUUCGGCUAAGGAAAAACCCAAAAUUUGGGUUCGAAGGGGUCGAGUCGCAGCCCUGUUCUUGGUGUGUCGCGGCCCUCUUGAACAAAAGGGAACCAAGGAGGGCUCUGUCGUGAGGGCGCGUCGCAGCGCUCUUAGGCUGGGUCGCGACACGUGGCUGAUGUUUUGGGGAGGCUGAGCCUCUGAUUGGGGCGGACCACGACACAAGAGCAUGGGGCCGCUACUCUUAAGGGGUUUUUGGACCCCGAGGGGGUUUUGAGUGCGAGAACUCAACCUUAAGGGCCCAGGAUCGAUCCCACUACUGUGUUUAGUAGAAUUUGAUGUCCCGGAGGCUAGGACUCGGUCUGGAAGCCCUUAUUCACUCGUUGUUGAUGGAAUUCUUUAUCAUGGUUGUGAUUAGGUCAACGCUAGAGGCUUGGAUCAGGGAUCGUACUCAAGAGUCGUUCAUUGGUAGCUUGCACUUGGAGCGAAGGUAAGAAAAUUGCACCCAGAAUAUGAUAUACAUGAUUGGGGCUCGGCCCGUAUGCUGAGUAUAAUCUUGAUUUGGGCGUUAGGCCUGUGAAUGCGUAUGAUUGUGAUUAUGCUUAUGUAUGCUUUUUAAAUGUAUUAUAAUACAUUGUAUCUAUAUGAAUAUAUUAUAAAUAAAUUACGUGAUUGUCUGCUAUGACUAAGGAACUCAAUUUAUAAAUCACGGAUUUGUUGUAGUAUCUAGAUAAAGAUUGACUUAUUAGUUAAGGAUAUAUCUUAUUUGAGGGGCUCAACUUAUAAGUCGAGAAUCUCCGAAGCUCGGCUUAUAAGUCGAGGGUCUUUAAGCUUCGACUUACAAGUCGGAGUAUGUGAGGCUCAACUCAUAAGUCGAGGAAUUGUAGGACUCGACUUAUAAGCUAAGAUUGUCAUUACGCACGUGGAGUGCAGGCCAUAAUGGCUAGGCCACCUUGGGGAUGCACCAAGCAUUUGACUGGCUCGAAUGCCAAACAAAUUGAAAGGGAGUGCGACACGCACUUGUGCAACUCUAGGGUUGUUGAUCUGUAAAAUGUUUAUGCUAGUUUAAGUUAUUACUGCUAGUCUGAUGUAUUAGUCUGUGAAUUGUUGAAUAUGUUUUCUUGCUAAGUCUCUUGGCUCACGGGUGCUUUGUGGUGCAAGUAAAGGUAAGGAGAAGCUUGGCCAGCCAUGAGUUGGAGAGCGAUAGUAGUGACGUGUACAUAUGCAGUCCGCUCGACUGCCACGACCGAGGAACUCAAGGAAGCUAGGGUUGAACCCAAUUUUUGCCGCCUAGGUCAAACUUUUUUCUACAUAUGGUCAAAAUACCCCUAGCUUUUAAUUUUACUUUGAUAUUAAUUUGAUUUAAUGUAUUUUGUAUUUUCGAAAUAAAUAAAAACAUUUAAAAAAAAUAGAAUAAUAGAAAACUAAAAUAAAAACAAGUUACCCAACGAAAAAUUAAAAAUCUUCACGGAUCUCGGUCAAACUUUUUUCUAAAUAUGACUAAAAUACUCCUAGCUUUUAAUUUUACUUUGAUAUUAAUUUGAUUUGAUUUAUUUUGUAUUUUUGAAAUAAAUAAAAAAUAUUUAAAAAAAUAGAAUAAUAGAAAACUGAAAUAAAAACAAGUUACCCAACGAAAAAUUAAAAAACUUUACGGAUCCCUGUCUUUUCGUCUUCCUCACGCAAACGAAGAAAAAUUAUUGGCCACCAUUGUCGACAAAGAAGCUUCUAAUCAGAGAUUUGUUCUCUAUGCAUUUCGCCUUGUAGGAAUCGACCCCACAAGAUUGAAGGCCACUCGAAAGGGCAAUGACAUCCUACAACAACAAUUCAUUUUCCCAAAAUGGUGGAAGAUUAAGAAAUAGAAGAUGCAUGUGUGGCAAAAUAUGUCAUGUGAGGAUUAGUGAAUCAAUAAAUAACCCAAAUAGGCUUUACUUUCGCUGUCCCUUUGGAGAGAAAAGGUGUAAUUAUUUCUCAUGGUGGGCAGAUGGAGAUUUUGUAAAUGAAGGUUUUGAAAAAGAAUAUAGAGACGAAGAAAAAAUUUCAUUUUGAUAUGAUUCAAUUAUUCUAAUAAGAUUACAAAGAUUGGAAGCAAAUGUAACUACUGGGCACUUGUUGGUGAAGAUUUUGCGAGCAAUAUGUGUGUUAUUGAUGUUCUUAAUUUUGUAUAUGAAAAUGAAGAUGUAAUAGUUAGUGGUAUGACAAUGAAGAUGUAAUAAUUAGUGGAUUUUGGCUACAAUUAUGGAAGUUGUACUUGACUUUGCAUCUAUAAAAAAACUAAUGUUGGUUUGUUUAA